rnacentral:rRNA from 1 species
CCUCGGGUCGCUGCAGUGGGGAAUAUUGCACAAUGGGCGCAAGCCUGAUGCAGCAACGCCGUGUGAGUGAAGAAGGCCUUCGGGUUGUAAAACUCUGUCCUAAGGGAAGAAACAAAUGACGGUACCUUAGGAGGAAGCCCCGGCUAACUACGUGCCAGCAGCCGCGGUAAUACGUAGGGGGCAAGCGUUAUCCGGAAUCACUGGGCGUAAGGGGUGCGUAGGCGGCCUAUCAAGUCAGAAGUGAAAGGCAUUGGCUCAACCAAUGUAAGCUUUUGAAACUGUUGGGCUUGAGUGCAGGAGAGGUAAGUGGAAUUCCUAGUGUAGAGGUGAAAUUCGUAGAUAUUAGGAGGAACACCAGUGGCGAAGGCGACUUACUGGACUGUAACUGACGCUGAGGCACGAAAGCGUGGGGAGCGAACAGGAUUAGAUACCCUUGUAGUC